rnacentral:rRNA from 1 species
GGAAUCUUCGGCAAUGGGGGCAACCCUGACCGAGCAACGCCGCGUGAGUGAAGAAGGUUUUCGGAUCGUAAAGCUCUGUUGUAAGAGAAGAACGUGUGUGAGAGUGGAAAGUUCACACAGUGACGGUAACUUACCAGAAAGGGACGGCUAACUACGUGCCCG